AAUAAGUUUAAGUUUUUUUUUAAAACGUCAAUAUGUUACAUAACCUUACUUCCAUAUUUUGUUUUCAACAUUUAUAAAAUUAAUUGAAAACUUCAAUAUAUGAGAGAUUAUUAAGUUAAGUGCAUAAAGUGUGAUUUUGACUAGAUUGCGUGUUCUGUGCUAAAAAUCUGCUUGAAAUUAUGCAGUCUGAUGGCCACUCUGCUGGAUUUGUGAUAAUAGGCCCUGGGUUAUUAUGAAAAUCUAGUAAAGUAGUCAACAAACUGCAUAAUAGUUUCCAGCAAAACAGGAAGAUUUCCAGCACAAGAGCAUGCAAGCAAUUCAGCCAAAAACAUCAUGUGCGGUUGGCUUUUAAAGCUCUACAACACAUUGAAUAAUUUUACAAAAUUAUAGUAGUUCAAAGAAAUAUUCUUACAUGUAUUAUAUGAUACUAAUUAUCCAGAUAGCUAAAUCUGCGUAUAAUAGAGUCUGAAUGCAAAUGCAUAGCCAUCUGUGUCUGUUUUAAGCUUGUAUUCUUUAGACAUCUAUUGAAAUAACCUUAUGGUAGGUAAAUGGCAAGAGUGAUCAUUGGAACCUGUCAUAAAGUUAUUUCAAUAGACAUCUACAGAAUAUAAGCUUAACGCAGACACAGAUAGCUAUAGAUUUGCUUUGAGAGUUUGUUAUUCGUAGUCUUGGCUGACAGGGUAAUGUAUUGUAUAUGUUAUGUACUAUUUCAGAAAUAUGGCUUAUGCUGUGGUAAAAUUUCUUGAUGAUAGUGCAGUAAAUGAAGUUCCAACAAAUUGGAUUCAAAAAGAUCAGAAUGAAACAGUAUGUUGGUGGCCAACAACAAAAACAAAAAAUUUAUCAACUUUAAUAUUAAAACGUACUGAACCAGAUGUUAAAACAUGGAUGCAACAUCCAAUAUUAAUUGAAAAAUACUGUAGUACAUUGGGCAAAGCUCAAAAAGUUGCGGAAAAUAAUAAUUAUACUUCCACAGAUGAAGUUGAUUUGGGAAAAGGGUAUAGAAAAAAAGUGCCCAAGCAAUUUUUUUAAGAUAACGAUAGUGAUAACGAAGACAAGAACCUAGAUGAUAUGGAUAAUGAAACAAGUCAAACAAAGAUAUCACAAUGUUGGCAGUCAGGGAAUUUGCCUACAAAUAAAACUGAUAAAACUGCUGAUUUAAUAUUUUCAUCACAUUCACAAGAAAUUUCAAAAAAAGACAAAAAACAAGGACAAUCAAGGAACAAAUACAAAAAAAAAUUAUCCACUAAGGAUAUUCAUAUAGAGAGCGAUUCCGAAAAAGAGAACAUAAGUGAUAAUCAAAGUGACGUAUCGAAAAGUCCAACUGAAAUACCACAAUGGCCUCGUUCUAUAACAGCAGAACGUUCUGAAUAUCAAUCAGUUUCGCCACGUACAAGUAUUAACGAUAAUAAAAGAAAAAAUGUACUUCAACGAAUGCAACAAAAGAUGUAGAGAAUACAAAUUCCCAGAAAAAUAAAUAUGACGAACUGAUGAACAUAACCAAAAAUAUUGAAAGAAAUAUUACUAUUGUAAUUAAAAUGGUAGCUAAACUACAAGUAAAAAUGCAAGAUAUUAUGCAACGUAUAGACAGAAUAACACCUUCAGUAAAAAUAACGUCUUCAACAGAACGAGUUACUAAUUGUUUACCAUUAAAAACAGUUAACGAUAUCAGACAUAUGGAAACUCGAUUACAAGACGAAGAUUUUCUUAAAGAAUAUUGUUUACUGGGAGUGUACACGAUAAUCCUUGAGACCUGCCAAGCAAUUUGAGAAUUGAGCCAAGCAAUUUGAGCAUUACAACCAACUUUUCUCCCAACUAUGGAUAAAAAUUCGUGGAAUAGAGUGGCACAGGGAUUCAUGGAUAAAUGGCAGUUCCCUAAUUGCGUCGGUGCCAUUGAUGGGAAACACAUACGCAUUAAAACCCUUGCUAUGUCAGGAUCCCAAUUUUACAAUUAUAAAGGAUUUUUUAGCAUGGUACUUAUGGCUGCUUGCGAUGGAGAAUAUAAGUUUACAUGGGUGGAUAUUGAAAAGUACAGCUCCACAACAUUCAGGAUCGACAUACUACAAUUACAAAGGCAGUCAUAGCUUAAUAUUAUUAGCCGUAUAUGAUACAAACUACAAAUUUAUCAUAGUUGACAUUGGCGCUGAAGGACGUCAAAGCGAUAGAAGAAUAUUUAAAUCAUCAUUUAUUGGGCAGGCAUUAAUUAAUGGAGAAGCUGAUUUGCCACCAGCUAAACAAAUUUACGAAGAUGGUCCUGUACUACUGCAAGUUUUAAUAGGCGACGAAGCAUUUCCGUUGACGACUUUUAUAAUGCGUCCAUAUCCUGGAAGAGGCGGAUUAAGUGUGGAUCAAAGAAUUUUUAAUUAUCAAUUGAGUAGAGCACGGAGAAUGAUUGAAAUUACUUUUUGGUUACUAUUUGGCAUUCUUCACAAUGGUGUCACAAUGGAGGAUUUUUAGAAAACCGAUAAUUGCAAAUGUCGAAAACGUAUAUAAAAUAAUUGAGGCUUGCGUUUGCUUGCAUAAUUUUAUAUGGGCGGACAACGCCGAUGAUGAAACUUGCGAAUUAGAAUUAAGUGAUGAUACAAUGAACAAUUUAGGUGGAAUGCAAAACAUAUGUCGUCUUGAAUCAAAUACGCAUUCACGCGAAGCUGCUCGUAUAAGAGAUGAAUUUAUGACAUAUUUCAACGAAGAAGGUGCUGUUGAUUGGCAGUUUUCAA